AAGGGUGCUUCUCAUUCCCAGAAAAUGCUAUCCCUGGACUUGCUUCGCUGCUUGUGAUGUUCCCUUUGCCUCUGACGUGCUCCCACUUAACUUCUUGUUUAUGCCAACUCUGGCCUGUCUUUUUUCAGUGCCUUCCUUUCUAGUGCCCGCCCAGAGAUUGCUUAGAUACACCUCUUCGGCCUCUCCACCCCCCCCCCCCUUAACUUCCUAGUAUACCUUUGGCAUCGCUCUUAUAUGUUACUAAAUGCUGUCUUCUUGAGCUAGCGUGUAAGCCCCUUGAGGGCAGGGACAGGGUCUAUUUCCCAGAAUAGUGCCGGGUCGUAAUAGUUAAUAAAUAAUUGUUGAAUAAAUGAAUGGCAUUUCUUGACUUCCUCAUAGUACACUGCUGCUACUCUUGCUGCUUGCUUGUUUACGGUGAGACAAGUGGAACCAGCCCCAUGUUGUGAUCAUGGUUUGAAUAGGCAGUACUUGCACACUGCACCCAGGAAAGUGGUAACUCACAGGCCCAGGCUCUUCCUGCUCCAUCACAUUGUCACACCGCCAAGUUUUAGAGCCCCACCGUGUGCAGUAAGCUAUUUCUCUGUCUCUGUAGAUUCAGUUUGUCUUAACCACUUCAUUACAAUUACUAGAAACAAUUCAAACUAGUCUGAAAGAUCACUAUAAGCUCCUUACAUCAUUUUCAUCUUUGUCCUGCUCUCUUUGUUGAAAGCAUCUCUUUGAGGCUUCUUCAGUCAUGGGUCCUCCAAAACGUAGAUACCCACGCACCCAAGUCCAGCAAUGGAUAAGAAGUACAGGCUGAGCAUAAAGGUACUAACGUGCUCUGCUGGCUGCUAUGUUCUCCCUAAAGCCAUUCUAAAUGCUUUGGAGUACUAGUCAUACCUAACACCGGUGCCCUUUGUGGAGCAGAGUACAUGCGUGGUCCUAUUUUUCUCACUGGCCUCCAUUACAACAUCAGAACUUAGUGCAGGAAAAAUGUCUUCCAUGUCUGACAGAACUGCAUGUCAGUGAGCCUUUUAAAACCGAAAAGCAAUGGAAAUAGUGAAACUGUACAUACUGCAAUACAGAAAUCUUGAGGAUAUGACUAAAUAGAACUUGCUAAACUGUUCAACCAACUCCUGGCUUACUGCAUACAAACUUCUUGUUUACUGCGUUAAACAGAUGAGAAGAAAAUCUUACAGAAAGUUUUUUCUUUUGUUUAAUGAUUAGUAUCUCUGCUGAAAAUCUGUUCAAUUUUUAUUUGUGCUUUCUCAUAAUGGAAUAGUGAAACAUUAGCCUUACUGUAUUUCCAGCGUCAAGUUUAAGACCAUCUGACUUACGAACCCAGAAAAUACCUACACUUGGCUCAUUAAGUCCAUUUGUACUUUUAGUACCUUUUAAUAACUCAAUAUCUUAUUUAAUAUCAUUGUGUUAAUCACAGUUAUUAUUGUGCUUCUAUAUUGGGUUGGUUGUGACACCUGAAUCCCUCUCCAGGUGCUCCUAUACUAAUCAAUAAUGUCAUUUGGGUGAGAAUAACAAAAGCACUAGACUAAUUCAGCUUAUUUUCCUUUAUCCCUUUACCGAAGAUAGGGGCUGAAGACUUCUCACUCAGUAAUCAUACGUCUUUUAAUUUUCUAUUAAAAUUAAAAAUUUCUGUUAGUCUUUCAAAAAUUUACAAGAAUAGUAAAAGAUUUCCUUUGUAUUCUUUCAGAUUCCCCAAGUUCUAACAUUUUACCACAUUUGCCUUAUCUCUUUUCCUUUUUCUCUCUGCCCUUUAUCUUCAUCUCUCCAUAUAUUUCUUUCCUGAGCUCUUUGUAAAAAGCAAAAAGCAUUUAUCUUCUAAAGGCAAAGACAUUCCCUUACUAAAAGACCUUUAUCAAAAUUGGGAAAGAAACCAACACUGCAACAAUCCUAUUAGGUUUUAUUCCCCUUUCAUCCUGACGUUGAAGAAUUAUUUUGUGAAUGCCUCUCAGUUUGGCUUUAUAGCAGUUAUGUUCUUCGUCACCUCAUUUUACAGAUCUGCUGGCCAGUCAUCUGCCAUUUCCUGGGUUAUAAUUUAGACAACUUUUAAAAAGAUAUUUUGAAGAUUACGUUUGUUCUGAUUACAAAAGCCAUCUUUUAAUUCAUCUGCUUACACUAUUUACAUGGGAAAGGAUAAAUAUGAAAAUGAAGAUCUAAUAAAGCAUGGCUGGCCGGAGGAUAUCUGGUAAGUAACAAUGUUGGUUCUGCAUUUUGUGAGUCAUUAUUUACUUUCUUAUACUUGGCCACCCACCUGACUCUAUGACUCUAUGACUCUAUGACUCGAACUUGGGGUAUGUAUUUUUAUGAGCCAUCAACAGUGAACAGGUAACUGCCAGCUCC